rnacentral:tRNA from 1 species
GUUCUUUUAGUCUAGUGGUUAGGACGUUGCUUUUUCACAGCAGAAACACGGGUUCGAUUCCCGUAAGGAAUA